rnacentral:rRNA from 1 species
GACAGAGGGGGCAAGCGUUGCUCGGAAUCACUGGGCGUAAAGGGCGCGUAGGCGGGUCUUUUAAGUCAGGGGUGAAAUCCUGGAGCUCAACUCCAGAACUGCCUUUGAUACUGAAGAUCUUGAGUUCGGGAGAGGUGAGUGGAACUGCGAGUGUAGAGGUGAAAUUCGUAGAUAUUCGCAAGAACACCAGUGGCGAAGGCGGCUCACUGGCCCGAUACUGACGCUGAGGCACGAAAGCGUGGGGAGCAAACAGGG